rnacentral:tRNA from 1 species
GGGGAUUUAGCUCAGUGGCUCUGAGUCUGCCUUGCAAGCACAAGGUCCUGAGUUCGAUCCUCAGCACCCCUG